AUUCCCCUGCUGUUAAUCAGUGGAAAAGUGCUUGUGUGAGCAGCAAGAAAUAUACCUGGGAUGAACAACUGACUGCUGCCAGUCUUCAGAUGAUACAGAAUGCUCUUCUUCUCAAGAGAAGAUGGAGAAUCAUAAUCUGCACUGUGAGGGCCUGUGUUCGUGCAAUGGAGUCGAAACAUGAUGAUUUGAAAAUUCGAGGCCCUUCUGUGGACUAUAUAGUACAAGCUUUUAAACCAGUUUGUUCUAAGAAGGUUAAGAUGACUACUGGAAGGGCUCAAAGUGCUUUGAAAAUGCUGUCUACAAUUUCAUUAG